UGUGCGGACACCCGCUCCCUCACCCUGAUUGGCUGGGAUCAAGCGCCAGCCACCCUCUUACCCACUGUUGAAGUCCAGGACAAAGCUACCAUGGAUCUAAUGGCGAAAGUUUUGGGCCUUAUCGCUUAAUGAAUCUACUGCCUUAAAAACAGAUGUUAACAGCCAUUCAAAUAGGAGAGAGAUGCCAAAGGACAGAAAAGAGCUUGGUCCAGACUAGUCAAGGAACCAAGUUUUCAUUUAUUUGUCAUCUUUGAUGGAAGAGAUCAACUUUUGCUACAAAACAUUUUCACUUGCAUCACCCCCUACCCCAUGGCUCCUGUCAUUCAGUCUGCAACAAGAAAUGAAGAGUUUGGAUAAUUUAGGAAGUGAAAGAUCCCUUUUAUUAAAAAAACUACUGAGAAAGAGAUGGUAAGGACAUAAUUGAAGAAAUUAGGCAUACAUGGACCAGCCCCAUGACAGGAAUCUGAAGAUAUUAACACUACUGCCCUACUAAUAAUUUUUUGAAAAAUGGUAGGAAACUAGAAAGGGACAAGAAGAUAAGAGAAAGUCAAACGUAAUGACCUUUGGCAGGGUGGUUCUGGCUGUUAUCUUCCUGUAACUGCUUACUUCUAGUAAAAUCAUAAAAACAAUCACUAAACCUUUGGAGAAUAAAGGAACUCUGGCCAGCAUAGAUGUAUGAAGAACAAAUUUUGCCAGACAAAGGUGACUCCUUAUUGGUACCUGCUCUAUAGUUAGGUCUGGAAGGAUUCAAUUUUUCUGUCAGUAAAUGUCAAAUUUGCUGUACGUACCAAACUGAUGAAAAAAUAUUUCCACCAAUAAAUCAUAUUUUAGGCAAAGUAAGAAGAAUGCUGCUUGAGAACUUAUUAGCGUUUUAUGUAAGGAGGUUUACUUUGUAUAUUUUGAUGUGAUGUUGAGUUGACAAUUUGUGUUUUAAUGGUUAUAAAGCUUUACCUUUUUGAA